rnacentral:tRNA from 1 species
UGGAAGGUAGCUCAGGUGUAGAGUGCAUGCUUAGCAUGUGUGAGGCCCUGGGUUCAAUCCCCAGCACCCCAC